GCAAAAUUACAUUCAGGGACUAUUUUUAUGUUUAUAAGCAGCAGAACUGGAAAAUGUUUCAACUUUCAACUAUUUACACCAAAAAAAUAAAAUCUAAAUUCAUUCAUGAGAAGAGAUAAGUGAUUCAUUCAAAUCAUGCAGCUAUGCAGUGUGGUGAUACAUUACUUGUUUCCCUCCCAAUAUAUAUUAUCCUAACCAUACAUCUCACAUCCUCAACUAGAAGUAAAUAUGAAAAAAAAAAAAUUCAUAGAGCAAAAGAAUUCAAUAAAUCCUACUGUUUCAAAAUUCUACAUGAGUUAAAAGGAAAAACAUUACACUGAUGGUGCAUCAGAAAAGGCCUCAAGCAUUUCAUCUUCACAGCUUGCCACACGGAGAAGCUCUUCGUCUUUUUCUUCUUCAUUCAAGA
rnacentral:misc_RNA from 1 species